UUUUUGAUAAUAAUUUAAAGUAAGGCCUGCCCMCUGAAAUUUUAAAGGGCCGCAGUAUUUUGACUGUGCAAAGGUAGCAUAAUCAUUAGUUUUUUAAUUGAAAGCUGGAAUGAAUGGUUUAAUGAAAAAAUAGCUGUCUCAUUUUUAAUUUUAUAGAAUUUUAUUUUUAAGUUAAAAAGCUUAAAUAUUUUUAAAAGACGAGAAGACCCUAUAGAGCUUUAUUAUUAAAAAUUUAAUAUAAUUUAGUAUUUAUUUUUAUUAAAUAAUUUAAUAAUUGGAUUGGGGUGAUUGAAAAAUUAAGUUAACUUUUUUUUUAUUUAUACAUUAAUUUAUGAAUAUUUGAUCCAAGAAAUUGAUUAUAAGAUUAAGUUACCUUAGGGAUAACAGCGUAAUUUUUUUUUAAAGUUCUUAUUAAAAGAAAAGAUUGCGACCUCGAUGUUGGAUUAAAAUUAAUUUUUGGUGUAGAAGCUAAAAAAUUAGGUCUGUUCGACCUUUAAAAUUUUACA
rnacentral:rRNA from 1 species